GCACAGUCCUGCAGGCCACGAGGGGACCUAGAGGAGAGGCCUUCUCGACCACUGCAAAGAGUUCAGAGAGGGAGAAGGCCAGGGGCAGCCUUGGUAGAGGGAAGCCCUUCGUUUCUCUCAACCUACGGGGCCUAUAAGGACGU
rnacentral:lncRNA from 1 species